rnacentral:rRNA from 1 species
GAUGGGCCCGCGGCCUAUUAGCUUGUUGGUAGGGUAACGGCCUACCAAGGCGAUGAUGGGUAGCCGACCUGAGAGGGUAUACGGCCACACUGGGAUUGAGAUACGGCCCAGACUCCUACGGGAGGCAGCAGUGGGGAAUUUUGGACAAUGGGGGAAACCCUGAUCCAGCGACGCCGCGUGAGGGAUGAAGGCCUUCGGGUUGUAAACCUCUGUCAGAGAGGACGAAUUAGACGGUACUCUCAGAGGAAGCCACGGCUAACUCCGUGCCAGCAGCCGCGGUAAUACGGAGGUGGCAAGCGUUAUCCGGAUUCAUUGGGCGUAAAGGGCGUGUAGGUGUCCCUAUAAGUCGGAUGUGAAAUCCUUCUGCUCAACAGAAGAAUGGCAUUCGAAACUAUGAGGAUUGAGUACAGGAGAGGAGAGUGGAAUUCCUGGUGUAGCGGUGAAAUGCGUAGAUAUCAGGAGGAACACCGGUGGCGAAGGCGACUCUCUGGCCUGAUACUGACACUGAGACGCAAAAGCUAGGGGAGCAAACAGGAUUAGAUACCCUGGUAGUCCUAGCCGUAAACGAUGCUCACUAGGUGUGGGAGGUAUCGAUUCCUUCUGUGCCGCAGCUAACGCAUUAAGUGAGCCGCCUGGGGAGUACGACCGC